UGACGUUUCAGUUCGGAAUUUCCGUGCGUUGGUGUCGCCUGUUUUUUGAUAAUCGUUAUCAAUUACUACCAAUUUUUGUGUUUGUGACUUACUCAGGAGAUAUGCUGAUGUAAAGUCGCCAAAGGAUUGGAAGUGUAUAUUGCGAAACAUGAAUAAUUUGGAAUGAAGUUAUGUGUUUUUGGAUGCCUAAUCAUUUAAAAGCGUGAAGAAUCAAGUGUAAGAAAGUGUUUAUGGGAAGAUAUUAGCAAGAAGUAGAAAAGGUUACAAUAAGAAUCUCAAAAUCUAAAAUACUAUUAAAUUUCGUAAAAAAUGGAGCGAGUAUGGCGAAAAGUGAAUCAGGGCCUUACAAUGAGAUCAUCGUCAACGAAAAAUGCUCAGCCGGUGGCCUCAAGCGCGACAAUGACGACUGGCUGUCUUCCGGUGCCGGGAUUUCAGCACUCAAC